rnacentral:RNase_P_RNA from 1 species
GAGGUAAGUCGGGUGACCGCCUGACUUCGCUAUAUGGAUGGGGUUAUACAACGCAGUGGUGCAGUUGGGAGGAAAGUCCGGGCUCCACAGGGUAGCGUAGCGGCUAACAGCCGUCCGUCGAAAGGCGCGGAUUAGAGCAACAGAGACGAGUUCUCCGAUGUAUUGUCGGAGAGGUGAAACGGGCAAUCUCUACGCGGAGCAAGGCCAAAUAGAAGGAGAGGAAUUACCCGUUCCGUUAUAUCCUCAGGUAGGCCGCUAGAUCCUGUCCUGAACGAAUUUUCUUCUUGGAAAAUUUAUCAGGAUCCCGAAGUUAUUCUGUAGAAAUUUCUACAUUCGGGAACAGCAAUGUCGGGACCAGAUAGAUGGUCACCAAAGACGUGAAUUAUCACGUUUGACAGAACCCGGCUUAUAGACUUGCCUUGAAA